GCUGCUGUGUGCAUGACUGAUUGGACCCGAAAUAAAAUUUUCUCACUCCUUUUUUUUUUUUUUGAUGGAUCUAAGCAAACAUAUGAUGCUUUGGAUAAACUAAUGUAUUUGGUAGAAGUCCAUGCAGUUUUGAUGAAGAAUACUCGAUGUACAGGCGGGAGUGCAUGAUCUGCUCGGUCGCUCAGAGCAGCUCACAGGCUAAAGGGUAUCCCUGCUAACACACAACAUACCAGUAAUUUAUUCGUCCUUUUUGGUAAUUUCAUGACUUACUAACAGGCAACAUAACUGUAAUGUCACAGGCCCGUAAUUUAAUUACCAUUAUAUGACUAAUUCACAACAUCAUAUUUAAGUCCUCCUAAUGCUGCAAGCUUACCCAGAAUGGUCCAGUUACUUAAUAUAUAUGUAAUAUUUUGUUAAUUCCAUGACUUACUGACAACGUAACUGCAACAUCAUGGGCCCAUAAUUUCAUUACCAUUAUAUGACUAAUUCACAACAUCGUAUUUACAUCCUCCUAAUGUUGUAAGCUUACCCAGAAUGGUCCAGUUACAUAAUAUAUACGUAAUAUUUAGGUAAUUCCAUGACUUACUGACAAUGUAACUGCAACGUCAUGGGCCCAUAAUUUCAUUACAAUUAUAUGACUAAUUUACAACAUCGUAUUUACGUCCUCCUGAUGUUGCAAGCUUACCCAGAAUGGUCCAGUUACUUAAUAUAUACGUAAUAUUUUUGUAAUUCCAUGACUUAAGGACAACGUAACUGCAACAUCAUGGGCCCAUAAUUUCAUUACCAUUAUAUGACUAAUUCACAACAUCGUAUUUACAUCCUCCUAAUGUUGUAAGCUUACCCAGAAUGGUCCAGUUACAUAAUAUAUACGUAAUAUUUAGGUAAUUCCAUGACUUACUGACAAUGUAACUGCAACAUCAUGGGCCCAUAAUUUAAUUACCAUUAUAUAACUAAUUCACAACGUCAUAUUUACGCCCUCCUAAUGUUGCAAGCUUACCCAGAAUGGUCCAAUAUGGUCCAGUUACAUAAUAUAUAUGUUUCUGUAAUAUAUAUAUUUCUGUAAUUCCAUGACUUACUGACAAUAUAACUGCAACAUGAGCCCAUAAUUUCAUUACGGAGUGGGAGAACCGCUGCCAGGGGCGGAGGAGACCCCUACCAUCCACCAAAAUGCGGCGGGGUGGUCCGUCCACCAGGGGACGGAGGACUGCCUCCGAUCCACCAGGGGAGAAGCGGCUGUCAUCCACUAGAGGGUGGAGGAAUGACCGAGGACCAGGCUACGGCGUAUCAGAGAACUGGCGAGUCCGAGAAGGUGGGGAAGACCCGCCGGCAGGCGGGGCCGGAAUAGCACGCCCAACAACCACAUCAGCAUAUUUGUCUGGUUUGGUGAGCUACUAAAUCAGACAUCAGAAGACUACAAAUGACAGUUCGGACUGCUGAGAGGAUUAUUGGUUGCCCCCUGCCCUCCCUUCAAGAACUAUACUUCCAGAGUGAGGAAAAGGGCUGGAAAAAUCACUCUGGACCCCACUCACCCAGCCCACUACCAUCUCUGAACGGUUUCCUUCUGAAAGGCGCUACAGAGCUCUGAGCACCAGAACCGUCAGGCACAGGAAAAAAUUUUUCCCUCAGGCUAUCCAUCUCAUGAACAGUUAAAACUGCCCCAUUGAGCAACAGUUAUGUGCAAAACACAGCUUAGUCUGUUUAUCUAACAUAUCCUACCUCUUCUGCCAUUACAUUCCCUUGCUUCUGUGUAUAACAGAUUUGUAUUUGUACAUACUGUAUAUAUAUAUAUAUAUAUAUAUAUAGUCUUGUUGUAUAUUUCUAUAUAUACUUAUAUUUUCUAUUCACUUUUUAUUUUUAUUCUAUUUUUUUUAGAUAUAAUUAUGUCUGCCUUGUAUUGUUUGUGCAUCAGGCCCGGCUCCACAGGGGGGCCUGGGUGAGCCUGGCCCACCCAAUCAUGUACUUGGCUCACCUUGAGAACUACACCUACACCUACCCCUCCAACUGUUCGGCCCAACCGGCGGGUCCUAUGGCCCACCUUACAUCUUAGAGCUGGAGCCAGGCCUGUUGUGCGCUGGAAGCUUCUGUCACCAAGGCUGCGUUCACUUCACUUUUAAUAUCCACUGGGUAACUUCCCCUCGGGGGAAUCCCCACCGCCAUUUUGGAAGUCCGUACCACUUCAUUAAUUGAGCGAGGGAAGUUUCUGUUGACAGACCCUCAACCCCUCGAUUUUGACAGAGGGAGUGAGCCUACUCUGAUGUAUAUUCAGGCAGCCCCAUAUCCCACAAUGCAACUCGAUUGUGACAUGACAGCAGAAUGCACUUCAUAAACCCCACCCCCACACAACUCUAAUGUAUGAUGAAAGUGAAGUUAGGUCAAUUAAGCAGUUUAGAAAAGUUAUAUUGAGAUUUAACCACGUAAUACUUGUAGCUACCUUAAACUGUUUGUCACACAUUUAUAGCCUAUGUGUUCAAUGUUAUGUUAACAUUUUCAUUUGUGUAAAUCUUGAUUAAUCCUUUCUAACAAUUCAUUCUAAUUAAAAAAGAAUUAAACUUACAAGAUUUAUACAUAAGCCUCUGAAAUCAAUCUCCGAAAACAUUGUUUUCUCAAGUGCAAAAAUCACUAAAUAAUUCCACAAACUGACAUCGGCCUUCAACAUGCUCCAAGUGAUCAAGGGUUAAGGGUGUUCCAGCUAAACACAUUGCACAGGUACGGCCAGUAGUGGACACUCUCACACCUUACGCAGUGACUAAUGGUACUUUUCCACUGCACGUUACGGUUCAACUCGACUCGACUCUGCUUGCUUUACUUUUCUGAGCUUGCUUUUCCACUGCAGUUUAGUGCAGCCCCAACUUGGGUGGGAUUAUAGGCUGAUCGUCAUAGUUGCGCCGCCUCUACUGCCGUGACAUCAUCAUAAACAAUAGCAUGACUGCUAGCUGUUAGCUACUAGCUCAUUGUGCUGCAUAAAGCAGUUGUUGCAUGGUGAUUUUACACAAGUGUAACAGUUAAAUUGGCCUGGUUGUUUUAGAAGCAAGCUUUUCAGUAGCUGGUCAACUAAAUAAAGUGAAGCUUUCAAGCAGAAUAUAGAGUUAACGUAACAAAACGUACCAUCCUCCAUAGUGGACUCCAACAACGCCAUGGCCGAGUCCAGGGCACUCUUCCUCCCAUUGCUCGCCGGUCUAUUGCCAUAGAUAGUGUCCAUUUGGUCGAAACACUUCCACUCUCUUCUGUUUGAACCACUCCGGCUGUUGUGGUCCUUGAUGGAUCUGUAGUCACUUUUAAGUUUUUUUUUAACUUUUCCCUACACUUUUGGUAGCCGUGUGCGGCCAACAGCUGAGACACUUCUUGAAAGACUUUUUCAUUUUGCGUCACUGCAUCCAGCUCUCGUUGGAUCCUCUCCUCAGCUACUAAUGAGAGGAACGUCUGCACCUCGUUUAUUGACCACAGCGUGGUUUUGCACACAGCCAUUUCUUUUUACAAUUCGAAAGUCACGUGAACAAAUGAUACUACUAUCGCUGUUGCUAACUUUAAAACUAACGGGUUGAUGUCCCGUGUUGCAAAUCCCAAUGAUGCUGGUAGUGACAAUUCUCUCUGACCAAUCAGUGACCUGCAGGGUAUUGACGUCACAUUUAGUAUCGGCUCGGCUCGCUUGGAAACUCGACCGAGGUGGUACUAAAAAAAGUACCAGGUACUAUCCACAGUGGAAAACCCCCAAAAAGUCGAGUUGAGUCGAGUCGAGCAGUACCGUGCAGGGGAAAAGCCCAAUAACAUCCGAGUCCAUGAGACGGAGUGAAGUUUGCGAGGGAAGGACAUAAAAAUUUGAAAUGGAAUGCAGCCCAAGACAGAUUACUUGUGUGUGUAAGCAUACUUGUCAAUAAAGCUCAUUCUG